rnacentral:lncRNA from 1 species
UCUAAGCUAACAAAUAUUCCCAAAACCUGAAAUCUCACAAAUCACGAGCUAAGAGAUACAUAAGAGGCUCUGCCUCAAGAAUGUCUAUACAAAGGGAAAUAAUGAAGGAGCUAUACUUAUUAUUGAAAGCUGGAAAGGGACUCCUCGGUCUGCGUACGUAGCAGAUAUCCCUCAAAAUCUCUACCGGUAUGCCUCCUUCCAAGGCUGACAGAACUGAGUGGGAGAAUCUGUAUCUGCACAACAAAAAUGUGCAGAAGAGUAGCAUGAGCUUACCACGGCGGUGCCCAGUAAGUAUCAAGACUAACCUCGGUGGAGUAGUGACGAGGAACAGUCGAGGAACCUACCAGUCAAAUAAACAGUAUAAUCAUGGGAAUAAAGGAAACAAUAUAUAAAUAUGUAAAGACUGCAUGGAUGACCAAAAAUGCAACAAUUCACAAUAAAGGGAAAGGCAACAAGUAACAACGAGAAUAUAAUGAAUGAUGAUACGAAAUGAUGGUAGAACCACAGUCCAAAUCCUAAGGUCAAGAAACAGCAAGGGAAAACAAGUCAAUAACUCAUAUCCUCCAAUGAUGUUUACAUAAGGUCUUAUUCAACGCUUUCCACAAUUUUACCAAGUGUCGGACGAACCAAAACUCACGAAAACCCAGCAUCUGAAAUCUAAUACUUGGCAUCAUGUGCCCCAUCAAUCUCACGUCAUGCUGACAACUAACUGGUUAACUAGGACCACUCUCACAUAUAUAAUGGAUAAAUGAGGGUGUAUCCCCACCCUUAGAAAAAUCGGGAGGAAUUCAUCUUUAAUGGGGGUGUCCGACUACGUGUAUGCUUGCGCAAGUGUAUUUAACAAGAAUUCCACCAACUAGUAAGUACAAGAAAUGGAACGACAAGCACCCGAAAUGUUUGCACAUGGAUAGAAUCAAUGAACACAUCAGUUCAGAACAUAAUAAGUUUAAUAGGGGAUCUCCCAGGAUAUCGUCCUGUAGUCCCAAACAUAAAUAUGUGUGCUAGGGAUCUCUUGUUAUCCCGAGGAACUCUUGGUAUCCUUAAUAGAUGUUCUGGGGAUCUUUUGGCAUCUCGAAGAUCUCUUAGUAUCCUCAACAUGUAUACUAGGGAUCUCUUGGUAUCCUCAAUAUAUGUGCUGGGGAUCUAUCGGGAAUCAAACCCGCAGUCCCAAAGUAAAUAUGCAGGUGGUCUAUCGGGAAUUGAACCCGCGUUCCAAAAGUAAAUAUGCAGGGGGAUCUAUCGAGAGUCAAACCCGCAGUCCCGAAGUAAAUAUGUAGGGAGAUCUAUCGGGAAUCGAACCCGUAGUCCCAGAGUAAACAAACAAGGGGGAGCUACCAGAAUCCCACAUCCGUAGUCCUAAUGUAAAUACACACCAAUAGCAAGAGAACAACAACAUCCCGGCAAGGGAGUCAACAACAGAUAUAAUAACGUCCCGGCAAGGGAAUCAACAAUAGAAAUAAUAACGUCCCAACAAGGGAGCCAACAAUGGAAACAAUAACAUCCCAGCAAGGAAAGCAACAAUACAUAAGAAAAAAACCAAUAAGCAAGAUAACCAUGACAAAAUAACAAGACAUAAUAAAUGUAUGAUAGCUACACCGAUAACCACAACAAUUGGACAUGUAACAUAUUUGCUCGAAGUCACCGAGGAAUUCCAAUCAAGGAGUAUCCAUACAAUAAGGAAGUUAACAUGAAUCAAAUAAUUACAAUUAAGGAAAUAUCAACUAAACCUAGGAUAUCUAACUUUAUCCAAUUAAGGCCAAUUAAUCACAUGAGAGAUAGAAAUAAUGUUUUUCCAAUUAAAGACAAGCAGUUAGGAAUGAUACAGUGACUAUGGAAGGGUAAAUAUCUACAGUUAAAAAGUAAAAGUCAAUUAGGCAACAAGAAUACACCAAGAAGGACAUAAAUUCCAAGUAAGACAUGUAGAGGGGAAACUAACAACAUGGAACUCAAUCGUAUUAAGAACAACUUCCUAUUCGAUGAUUUCAAGGAUCUAAGAACCUAAAAGUGACAAUUUUCCAAAAAUACAUCCGAGCACGCACUCGUCACCUUGGGUACAAGGAAUAUAAUCAAUAAAGAAGACUCAAAUCCUAAGGGAAGUCCCCCACACAAGGUUAGGCAAGAUACUUACCUCGAACCGGCUAAAAUCAACUAGCAACUGCGUUCUUGCCACGAGUACUCGACUCCAAAUGUCCCAAAUCUAUUCAAUUCAAUCACACAUUAUAAAUAACAUCUCAAUCAACUGAUUCUACUAUUUAAUUCAAAGGUAAAGCGCACAAUUAGGAAAAACGACCAAAACGGGUCAGGCUAACAUCUCGGAACCCGAUGAAUUUAAUAUUUUCAGAACCCUCAUUCUCUCACGAGUCUAACCAUAUAAAAAUCUCUCAAAUCAGAGGUCAAAAACCCCCUCAAAACUCAAUAAUUUGGUCUAUGAAGUUCUACCCAUUUUUCAUUAAAAAUCUAAAACUAAAGGAUGAAAUUAGGAGUAGAUUCAUGAAAAUUGGUCUAAAUCGAGUGAGAAACACUUACCCAAGUCUUCCAAGUGAAAAUCCCUUUAAAAAAUGCCAAGAACCGUGCUCUAGCAAUCAAAAUGUGAUAAAAUGGUGAAACCCUCGAAAUUAGGAUUUUUCAGCCCAGUUAUUUUGCCAUCGCAAACAUGGAAGAAGCAUCGCGUUCGCGAAGAAGAAGAAGUGAAGGGGAUCUAUUACUCAUCGAGUACGCGACAAUGUGUCCGCGAAACAGAAGAAAGAGAAUCGGGUGGCCUAGGGACUGUCCUUCGCGAACGCGUGGAGCCUGUCCACAAAUGCGAAGAGUGAAAUAGCCAAACUACACGAACGCGGGAACGGGUACACGAACUUGAUGGAGGGGCAGAACUUUGCGAACGCGAGGCUCUAAAUGCAAACGCGAAGAAGGAUUUCAGGUGACCAGCAAUAAAGCUUUGCGAACGCGAGGUGAUGCCCACGAACGCAAAAGAGGAUAUCGGAAGCAGAAGAGAGCAGUUCAAAAACAAGGGAGAAUGAUAUGUAGCCCAUCUGAAACACACCAGAGUCCCCGGGGACCCCGUCUAACAAUACACACAAGUAAUAUAACCUAAUGCGGACUAAAUCUAAGUUCUAAAUUACAUAACACAAUAUCAAAACGACGAAUCAAAUAAAAAAUCAAGCUUAUGAACUUCCAAAUCUUCAAAUAUCGAAUCUUAUGUCAAAACCUAUCAAGUCAACUCAGAAUGACACCAAAUUUUGCAGACAAGUCCAAAAUAACAUAACAAAGCUGCUCCAACUCCCGAAAUCAUAUUCCGACCACGAUAUCCAAAAAGUCAACUGUGGGUCAAACUUCUUUAUUUUCCAACUUCAACUUUCGCCGAAAUGCCUCAAUUUACUCUACGGCCUACAAAUCUGAAUCUGGAUGAGCGCCUAAGUCCAAAAUCACCAUACUAAGUUGUUGAGAUCAUCCACGACCCAUUCUGGGGUCGUUUACCCAAAAAUCCAAUUCCGGUCAACUUUCCACCAUUCAAACUUCCAAAACUAGAUUCCUUAUUUCAAUUUGACUCUAAACCAUCUGAAAGCCGAAUUACGCCAUGCACGCAAGUUGAUACUCGUAUUCUAAAGCUGUUACAGACUUUAUACCGCUGAACGAAGCUUAAAUUCUCAAAACGACCAGUCGGGUCGUUAUAAAAAAUUACAACAAAGACAUGUUGAGAACACAAAGAUCUUGGACUUGACCAGUACAUACAACAAUAGAACUUUAAAGGGCUAGAUGACUUAUCAGGAUUAAGGAAAAACAGGCAAGAACUAAAAUGGACCUGCUAGGCAAGUAUUAACAAGUGUAGACAUGCUAAUUACACACUUACAAAACAAAUUUUAGGCAUGCUAGAUAAGCAGUAGUCAGGCAAACAGUCUAGUCGCAUGUGGAAUAGGACAGUGUAAGACAUGUUAAACAAGAUAGUAAACAGGCAAGUAACGAAAUGACUUGCUAAUUACAUAUUUGAAUAAGGCAGUAUUUGACAUGCUCGUUACAUAUUGAGCAAUCGUGAUAGUAAAUUAAUAAACAGGAUUGGAAGUUAUAACUAGUGAACUAAACAACAAAGAAACACAUAGUUUUGGAAUUUGAAUUGAAUCGGGACAUACCAGUUAAGGAGAGAAUACAGAGUAUAGAGUAGAGAUGGUGGAAAUAGACAGCUUUGGCUUACAGCCGCCUAGGAUAGUGACAAUUGCAGGUAACAUAAGAGAAUAGAGAGCUUUUGAGAGUGUGAGAGUAUUGAUGAACUAAUGUUCGUGUCCAGAAGUAAAAAUAGAGGAGAGUAUAUAUAGCAGUUUAGGAGUAGAGCAGAAUAAGUAAAGAAAUCAUAAUUCAACAAUCAUGGAAAUUCCAAAAUCAAUCACAUGUGAAAUUAGCAUAGUCUUCAUUCAGUUAAGGACAACUACACAACUGUUAAAGGACAUGAGUUAUUUAAUGAAUGAAAAUCAAAUCAAACCUAAGUAAAUAGGUAAAUAAAUAGAAGUUUAAUUAAGGAAGUAGUUAUGAAGAAUCAGUAACAUUGCAGACAAUAAGGUAAUAAGAAUAACUAGAGUUGUAAAAAAGGGAAUAAAUCAAGAAUCAGGACAUAAUUUUCAACCAAGCAAAUCAGUAAAUCGAAAUUCAAAAUAAUACUGAUUUAAAGAGAUGGAAAAAUAUCAGUUUUCCAUAAAUAGAUGAUUAGGCUGAAGAAAACUUCAUAAACACAUAUAAAUUAACCAAGAGAUCGACUCAGAAAACCUAGUAGAGAUGUACUAAGGUGGAAGUCACCAGAUACUGAAUUGAAUUAAGAAAAAUCAUGAAAGUUAAAGCACAGACCAACAAUGUAGCCAGUAAUAUGGAAAGAUUCAGAAUCGAAGCAAAAAUAUAAGAAAUUAGGACUUUAGCUUAAAUCGACUAGGGUCCAAAUAAUAUUAACACGAAUCAGUCGGUAACACAUUAAGAAUCACGAUUACACACUCAAAAAUCGGAAAGUCUUUUACAAGAGCGAGUUCAGUAAGCCCUAGUUUUUAGGAAAAAUGGUGAAUCGAUUCAAAACCGUAAGACUUCAUGAAAACAUGUGAAAUAGACUCGAUUCAUCUCAGAUCUGGACAAAUCUGAGAAGAUCAAAGAAUAAAAAAAUAGGUUUUUUUUUGGAAAAGCAAUAGAGACAUGUACAUACUCAGGAAACCACGGAUCCAAGACGAAAAAUGAGAAAGAUCUUACUCAAGAUAAAUCUAAACAGCCUGAAACCAGCAAAAAAAUCCAAGGUAUAACAAAUCGCCUAGGUCCCUUGAGGAUCUCUUUAAGGAUCCAAAAAUGGAGACGCCAUAACAAACAUGAGCCUUUACAAGCCUGGGGUGGUAAAUAACCAUCAUAGGAGGGCAGUAGGUAAGUGAAGACGUUUGAAAAUUAGGGUUUAGGUUGAGAGAAUUUGAGAGAGGAGAGAAACAGA